rnacentral:misc_RNA from 1 species
GAUGAAGAACGUAGCGAAAUGCGAUAAGUAGUGUGAAUUGCAGAAUUCAGUGAAUCAUCGAAUCUUUGAACGCACAUUGCGCCCGCGAGUAUUCUCGCGGGCAUGCCUGUCCGAGCGUCAUUUCAACCCUCAGGGCCCGCCUGCUUCGGCAGGCGCGGCGCUGGUGUUGGGGAUCGGCCUAACCGCCGUCCCCCAAAUACAGUGGCGGUCUCGCUGCAGCCUCCCCUGCGUAGUAGCAACACUCGCAUGCGGAGCGCGGCGCGGCCACGCCGUAAAACCCCCGACUUUCUGAACGUUGACCUCGGAUCAGGUAGGAAUACCCGCUGAACUUAAGCAUAUCAAUAAGCGAGGA